GCCUUUUAACUUGCAAGUCGAAACGGCAGCAUGAUCUAGCUUGCUAGAUUGAUGGCGAGUGGCGAACGGGUGAGUAAUACAUCGGAACGUGCCCUGUAGUGGGGGAUAACUAGUCGAAAGAUUAGCUAAUACCGCAUACGACCUGAGGGUGAAAGUGGGGGACCGCAGGGCCUCAUGCUAUAGGAGCGGCCGAUGUCUGAUUAGCUAGUUGGUGAGGUAAAGGCUCACCAAGGCGACGAUCAGUAGCUGGUCUGAGAGGACGAUCAGCCACACUGGGACUGAAACACGGCCCAAACUCCUACGGGAGGCAGCAGUGGGGAAUUUUGGACAAUGGGCGAAAGCCUGAUCCAGCAAUGCCGCGUGUGUGAAAAAGGCCUUCGGGUUGUAAAGCACUUUUGUCCGGAAAGAAAUGGCUCUGGUUAAUACCUGGGGUCGAUGACGGUACCGGAAGAAUAAGGACCGGCUAACUACGUGCCAGCAGCCGCGGUAAUACGUAGGGUCCAAGCGUUAAUCGAAAUUACUGGGCGUAAAGCGUGCGCAGGUGGUUGUGCAAGACCGAUGUGAAAUCCCCGAGCUUAACUUGGGAAUUGCAUUGGUGACUGCACGGCUAGAGUGUGUCAAAGGGGGGUAGAAUUCCACUUGUAGCAUUGAAAUGCGUAAAGAUGUGGAGGAAUACCGAUGGCAAAGGCAGCCCCCUGGGAUAACACUGACGCUCAUGCACGAAAGCGUGGGGAGCAAACAGGAUUAAUACCCUGGUAGUCCCAC
rnacentral:rRNA from 1 species